rnacentral:snRNA from 1 species
AUACUUACCUGGCAGGAGAGAUACCAUGAUCAAUAAGGUGGUUCACCCAGGAUGAGGCUUGGCCAUUGCACUCCAGCUGAACUGACCUCUGCGAAUUCUCCAAAUGUUGCAAUCUCCAAAUGUUGGAAUCUCGACUGCAAAAUUUGUGGUAGUGGGGGACUGUGUUUGUGCUCUCCCCUG